rnacentral:rRNA from 1 species
UACGGAGGAUGCAAGCGUUAUCCGGAUUUAUUGGGUUUAAAGGGUGCGUAGGCGGCCAUUUAAGUCAGCGGUGAAAUUUUGCAGCUUAACUGUAACAGUGCCGUUGAUACUGUUUGGCUAGGAUUUGGUUGUAGUGUGCGGAAUGUGUGGUGUAGCGGUGAAAUGCUUAGAUAUCACACAGAACACCGAUUGCGAAGGCAGCACACUAAGUCAUUAUUGACGCUGAGGCACGAAAGUGUGGGGAUCAAACAGGAUUA